rnacentral:lncRNA from 1 species
UGGGGAUUUCCUUCACAUAUAGGUCCAAUCAGAUGUCAAAAUUGUGGUCUCCUCACUUGACGGCAUCCAAUCAAAGUGGGGAAAAAAUUCAGUUUUAUGUAAACAAAAAUAUCUUGAGAUUUUGAUGGUAAGGAUAGGUUCGGACAAGGCUCUAAUUCACUGAAUAUCUUUUCUCUCUUGAAUUGUGGCUAAAAUUCUUGUCGGCUUUUAGCAGGAUUCUGCAGGUGAGGAUUAGAUUGGUAUCAGAGCAUCACAUUUUUUGCCUUAUUUGCAAUGCAUUUAUAAAUUUUAAAAUCUCCAUGCUGGACAGACACCCAAAUUUAAAGGUUUUCUAUAUAUUU